GGGGGUAUAGCUCAGUGGUAGAGCAUUUGACUGCAGAUCAAGAGGUCACCAGUUCAAAUCUGGGUGCCCCCU
rnacentral:tRNA from 1 species